CAGUCGAACGGAGAUUAUACGCAGAGGCGAUUUCGGUCAAAUCAUGUAAAAUCUUAGUGGCGGACAGGUGAGUAACGCGUGGGUAACCUGCCUUACACUGGGGGAUAACACUUAGAAAUAGGUGCUAAUACCGCAUAAGCGCACGAAGCCGCAUGGAUUUGUGUGAAAAACUCCGGUGGUGUAAGAUGGACCCGCGUCUGAUUAGCUUGUUGGCGGGGUAACGGCCCACCAAGGCGACGAUCAGUAGCCGGCCUGAGAGGGUGGACGGCCACAUUGGGACUGAGACACGGCCCAAACUCCUACGGGAGGCAGCAGUGGGGGAUAUUGGACAAUGGGGGGAACCCUGAUCCAGCGACGCCGCGUGAGUGAAGAAGUAUUUCGGUAUGUAAAGCUCUGUCAGCAGGGAAGAAAGAAAUGACGGUACCCGACCAAGAAGCCCCGGCUAACUACGUGCCAGCAGCCGCGGUAAUACGUAGGGGGCAAGCGUUAUCCGGAAUUACUGGGUGUAAAGGGAGCGUAGACGGUUAAGUAAGUCUGGAGUGAAAGGCCGGGGCCCAACCCCGGGACUGCUCUGGAAACUAUUGAACUUGAGUGCAGGAGAG
rnacentral:rRNA from 1 species